GUUUUAUAAAAUAUCGUAACUUGUUACUUGAAGUCCUGUCACAAAGUUAAAAACAUCGAAUUUCGCCAUGAUUUUUCGCCACGUCAUUCGACAUUUUUACAGUUUUUCUUUGUCAGUUGAUGAACUCCAAUUUUAAGCAUCGGUCGGCAGUCAGAUACCAUUGUGCAUCUAAUGUCAUACUUUUAAAGUCUAUGAUAAAUUGAUAAAUGGUUUGGGAACAAUAAUUCCAAUAUGGUUUAUUUGGCCAGUAAAGAGAGACAAACUUCUGAAUUUGUCAGUGAAUGUACAUAUUCAAAUAAUACGAAGUCUGCAGGAUAUCCUUGACUAACAUCACGUCUGCUGUAUAUCGGGCAAAAUUAUUUACUACGGCCCACAGGCCAGUCCGCGAUCGCUGACCAGCAGACCGGGCCAGUCCGCCCCUGGUAAGAAUGAUCAUUUUAAUACCUACCCUCAAUUUUUUCAUACAUUAGCCGGGCAUUGUGAAUUAAUUAUUGCACACAUUUAUGUCGAAUGGUACUAUUAUAGUUAACAACAACACUACAAAACUAUUCUUACAUAUUUUAUUCGUUUGAUACCACGACUUACGAGUUACGAGAUACCUAUCUAAUUGUACACAAUAUACGCGAUGACGGCUGCCGAAAA